AUUGAACGCUGGCGGCAGGCCUAAAACAUGCAAGUCGAACGAGGGGCGGACGGGUGAGUAAUGUCUGGGAAACGGCCUGAUGGAGGGGGAUAACUACUGGAAACGGUAGCUAAUACCGAAUACCAACAGGUGUGCACAGAGGGGAUUAGAUUGGUGGUGGGGUAACGGCUCACCAGGGCGACGAUCCCUAGCUGGUCUGAGAGGAUGACCGGCCACACUGGAACUGCGACACGGUCCAGCCUCCUACGGGAGGCAGCAGUGGGGAAUAUUGCACAAUGGGCGCAAGCCUGAUGCAGCCAUGCCGCGUGUAUGAAGAAGGCCUUCGGGUUGUAAAGUACUUUCAGCGGGGAGGCGUUACCCGCAGAAGAAGCACCGGCUAACUCCGUGCCAGCAGCCGCGGUAAUAC
rnacentral:rRNA from 1 species